rnacentral:rRNA from 1 species
AUAGCAGUUCAUCGAAAGAAGAACCUCAUUUAGUUGGAUCGGUGACAGGUGAUGCAUGGCCGUCGUCAGCUCGUGUCGUGAGAUGUAUGGUUAAGUCCAUUAACGAGCGCAACCCUUAUGUUUAGUUGGAUUUUUCUAAACAGACUGCCCUGGCAACAGGGAGGAGGGAGGGGAUGACGUCAGGUCAGUAUUUCCCUUACGUCUUGGGCUACAAACACGCUACAAUGGCCGGUACAAAGGGCAGCAAACCCGCGAGGGGGAGCAAAUCUCAUCAAAACCGGUCUCAGUUCGGAUUGCAGGCUGAAACUCGCCUGCAUGAAGCUGGAAUCGCUAGUAACGGUAGGUCAGCACACUACCGUGAAUACGUUCCCGGGUCUUGUACACACCGCCCGUCAAACCAUGAAAGUGGCCAACACCCAAAGUCUGAGCUUGCCUCAG